CUCCGACGAUCGGUGCCCCUCCCCUCUCCCCUGCAGUCAUCGCCUCAGCCAACGCGGUUGUUGCCGCAGUCCUAGCCGCCUCCACCGAGUCAGGCCCAGGCCUGGCAGGCUCCCUGGCCGCCACCGCAGAUCUGGUCGGCGUGUCCCUGCCCCACGCCGCUGACCUAGCCGCCAGCACGGGCCACCUCCUCGCCCCACCCGUGGGCGCGGCCCCAGGCAUCGCCGCUGCCACCGCAGCAAGCCUGCUUGGACGGCAGACCGCCAGCGCUACCUCUCAGGCUGCGCUGCUCGGUUUCCCCACCUCCGGCGCCCUCUGGCUCACCCCCGGUGCGAACACAACACCCCUGGGCACAGCACACUUGCAGGAGAUGACCCCCCCUUUAUCGCCGGCCUCGG
rnacentral:misc_RNA from 1 species